rnacentral:rRNA from 1 species
UACGAAGGGGGCUAGCGUUGUUCGGAUUUACUGGGCGUAAAGCGCGUGUAGGCGGACUUGUAAGUUGGGGGUGAAAUCCCGAGGCUCAACCUCGGAACUGCCUCCAAAACUACAAGUCUGGAGCAAGAUAGAGGCAAGUGGAAUUGCGAGUGUAGAGGUGAAAUUCGUAGAUAUUCGCAGGAACACCAGUGGCGAAGGCGACUUGCUGGAUCUUUGCUGACGCUGAGACGCGAAGGCGUGGGGAGCAAACAGG